UGGAGCCUGCGGUUUAAUUGGACUCAACGCCGGGCAGCUCACCGGAUAAGACAGCUGGAUGAUAGCCGGGCUGAAGACUCUGCUUGACUAGCUGAGAGGAGGUGCAUGGCCGUCGUCAGUUCGUACUGUGAAGCAUCCUGUUAAGUCAGGCAACGAGCGAGACCCACGCCAACAGUUGCCAGCAUGUCCUCCGGGAUGAUGGGGACACUGUUGGGACCGCCUCUGCUAAAGAGGAGGAAGGAAUGGGCAACGGUAGGUCAGCAUGCCCCGAAUUAUCCGGGCUACACGCGGGCUACAAUGGUCAGGACAAUGGGUAUCGACACCGAGAGGUGGAGGCAAUCUCCUAAACCUGUCCUUAGUUCGGAUUGUGGGCUGCAACUCGCCCACAUGAAGCUGGAAUCCGUAGUAAUCGCGUUUCAAAAUAGCGCGGUGAAUAUGUCCCCUGCUCCUU
rnacentral:rRNA from 1 species